rnacentral:tRNA from 1 species
GCCGAGGUGACAGAGUCCGGUAAUGUGAUGGCCUGCAGAGCCAUUUAAUAGGGGUUCAAAUCCCCUCCUCGGCUCCA